rnacentral:snoRNA from 10 species
UAGCAAGCCUCCAGCAUGCUUAGGUCUGCAGUGACCCUAUGCAUCCCUACAGUGCUUGCCAGAACAGUUUUGAAACGGUUUGAGGCCUUGCCCUGCUCCAUCCAGAGCAAGGGUAUAGAAAUUUCAGACAAUU